GAAAUGCGAUAAGUAAUGUGAAUUGCAGAAUUCAGUGAAUCAUCGAAUCUUUGAACGCACAUUGCGCCCCCUGGUAUUCCGGGGGGCAUGCCUGUUCGAGCGUCAUUUCACCACUCAAGCCUCGCUUGGUAUUGGGCAACGCGGUCCGCCGCGUGCCUCAAAUCGACCGGCUGGGUCUCCUGUCCCCUAAGCGUUGUGGAAACUAUUCGCUAAAGGGUGUUCGGGAGGCUACGCCGUAAAACAACCCCAUUUCUAAGGUUGACCUCGGAUCAGGUAGGGAUACCCGCUGAACUUAA
rnacentral:misc_RNA from 1 species